UACGUAGGGACCGAGCGUUGUUCGGAAUUACUGGGCGUAAAGGGCUCGUAGGUGGCCAACUAAGUCAGACGUGAAAUCCCUCAGCUUAACUGGGGAACUGCGUCUGAUACUGGAUGGCUUGAGUUUGGGAGAGGGAUGCGGAAUUCCAGGUGUAGCGGUGAAAUGCGUAGAUAUCUGGAGGAACACCGGUGGCGAAGGCGGCAUCCUGGACCAACACUGACGCUGAGGAGCGAAAGCCAGGGGAGCAAACGGG
rnacentral:rRNA from 1 species